GAUGAACGCUGGCGGCGUGCUUAACACAUGCAAGUCGAACGAUGAAGCCCAGCUUGCUGGGUGGAUUAGUGGCGAACGGGUGAGUAACACGUGAGUAACCUGCCCUUAACUCUGGGAUAAGCCUGGGAAACUGGGUCUAAUACCGGAUAGGAGCGUCCACCGCAUGGUGGGUGUUGGAAAGAUUUAUCGGUUUUGGAUGGACUCGCGGCCUAUCAGCUUGUUGGUGAGGUAAUGGCUCACCAAGGCGACGACGGGUAGCCGGCCUGAGAGGGUGACCGGCCACACUGGGACUGAGACACGGCCCAGACUCCUACGGGAGGCAGCAGUGGGGAAUAUUGUACAAUGGGCGAAAGCCUGAUGCAGCGACGCCGCGUGAGGGAUGACGGCCUUCGGGUUGUAAACCUCUUUCAGUAGGGAAGAAGCGAAAGUGACGGUACCUGCAGAAGAAGCACCGGCUAACUACGUG
rnacentral:rRNA from 1 species